ACCUAGAUGUAUAGUGAAACAAAAAAAAUUCUAAGAAUUAAAAAAACCUCUUUGUUCUCUCAAAACACAAGUCGUCGCAGAUCUACCCCAAGAUUUACACAUCGCACCCAUCGUGUACUCUGCCCUAGUUCUGCCGAUCGUUGCAGAAGAGAGCUUCCCCAAGAAGUGUUGUGAAGGCCCAAUCACAGCAGGUCCUUGCUAAUCCUUAGAACUUCUAGGGUUGAAAAGAAGGUUAUGACACCUAGUAAGCAAUGGAUGCCACUUGUUGAUAAUCAGCUCGAUGAAGCCUACUUAAUCGAUGCAACUAUGGACCUCAACCCGUAGCCAUGUAUUUGGCUUUACGGUUGGAGCAAAGGCGAAAGACUUGAAAGGUGACACUUCUUCGAAGGCUGAAUUACAAUUUUCGCUACAUUCAUCACGAGAGAAAACAAAUUAUUGAAUGAUGGCUUGUCAUGGAAAAUGAGAUGAAAGAAAUUAAGAAAAUAAAAGAAUUCUUCAUUGGUCAACAAUCAUAUGUCCCCUCUAUGACAUAGACCGUUUCAACUGAAUGACUACUGUUUUUGUCGGCUUUACCAAGCCAGCAAAGCAUAAC